UCCCGCCCUGGGAGGAGGAGGGGAAAAGAACACAGGCUGAGCAGUGGAGGGAAGAGGGAGCCAUUUCUCUCCACUAACUGCAACCUCUGUGUUUGCAGCUCACAUUUCCCGGGAAUCCAGAGGCCUCCUCGGCCAAGGACUCCACAAUGCUGGAUAUUUUCAUCCUGAUGUUCUUUGCCAUCAUAGGCCUGGUCAUUCUGUCCUACAUUAUCUAUCUGCUCUAGCGGCCUGUAGCUGCGGCGGGGAGCCCACAGGAGAACAGCUCAGGGGGGAAGGAUGAAGCUGGCUGGCCGAGCAUCCUGCUUUGUUGACGCACCGGUGGAUUUUUGCUUCUGGUCGUCAUUUCGGGUGCUCAAACUCCAAACUACCCAUUUUCUUCCAGUAAUUAAAGCUCCUGGUCUCCAAUCCAACAAGAGGCCUCUUAUCAACAGCAGCAGUCCUACUGCCCAGCAGACCUCUUCCAGAGCCUCCCGGAUACGGUUAACCCCUGUCAAGCAAGGGGCUUUUUGAGCUCAGAGGCACAGGCGCUCGGCUGGGACGUGAGGAAUUCAUGGGCCCUGCUGGCAGAUACUGUGUGCGUGUGUGAGUGUAGAUAGAGGGUGUUGAGAACACAGAGCUGAAAUGUGGACUCAUUCAAGUUACCAUGGAGAACUGCUCAGAAUUCAUUUUAUAGGCUUUCCUUAGGUCUAAAUGCAACUGUAUAUUAUGCUAAAAUAUGUUCCUUCCUUUCCCGCUCACACGCAGGGUUUCCCCUGUAAAUUCAAGAGCGCGCUGUCUCUGUUCAUCUAUGAGACGUCACUUUAUCACUCACUGUCUCUACAGAUUGCACAAUCUGGG
rnacentral:lncRNA from 1 species